UACGGAGGGAGCUAGCGUUGUUCGGAAAUACUGGGCGUAAAGCGCACGUAGGCGGCGCAGCAAGUCAGGGGUGAAAUCCCGGGGCUCAACCCCCGGAACUGCCCUUGAAACUGCAGUGCUAGAAUCCUGGAGAGGCGAGUGGAAUUCCGAGUGUAGAGGUGAAAUUCGUAGAUAUUCGGAAGAACACCAGUGGCGAAGGCGACUCGCUGGACAGGUAUUGACGCUGAGGUGCGAAAGCGUGGGGAGCAAACAGG
rnacentral:rRNA from 1 species